rnacentral:rRNA from 1 species
AGUUGGUGGAGUGAUUUGUCUGGUUAAUUCCGUUAACGAACGAGACCCCAGCCUGCUAAAUAAUCACAGUAAUGAUUUUUCAUUGUUGAUUGGUUUCUUAGAGGGACAUGGAGUAUAAAACUCCAGGAAGAUUGGGGCAAUAACAGGU